AGCGGUAGCACAGAGAGCUUGCUCUCGGGUGACGAGCGGCGGACGGGUGAGUAAUGUCUGGGAAACUGCCUGAUGGAGGGGGAUAACUACUGGAAACGGUAGCUAAUACCGCAUAACGUCGCAAGACCAAAGUGGGGGACCUUCGGGCCUCAUGCCAUCAGAUGUGCCCAGAUGGGAUUAGCUGGUAGGUGGGGUAACGGCUCACCUAGGCGACGAUCCCUAGCUGGUCUGAGAGGAUGACCAGCCACACUGGAACUGAGACACGGUCCAGACUCCUACGGGAGGCAGCAGUGGGGAAUAUUGCACAAUGGGCGCAAGCCUGAUGCAGCCAUGCCGCGUGUGUGAAGAAGGCCUUCGGGUUGUAAAGCACUUUCAGCGGGGAGGAAGGCGGUGAGGUUAAUAACCUCAUCGAUUGACGUUACCCGCAGAAGAAGCACCGGCUAACUCCGUGCCAGCAGCCGCGGUAAUACGGAGGGUGCAAGCGUUAAUCGGAAUUACUGGGCGUAAAGCGCACGCAGGCGGUCUGUCAAGUCGGAUGUGAAAUCCCCGGGCUCAACCUGGGAACUGCAUUCGAAACUGGCAGGCUAGAGUCUUGUAGAGGGGGGUAGAAUUCCAGGUGUAGCGGUGAAAUGCGUAGAGAUCUGGAGGAAUACCGGUGGCGAAGGCGGCCCCCUGGACAAAGACUGACGCUCAGGUGCGAAAGCGUGGGGAGCAAACAGGAUUAGAUACCCUGGUAGUCCACGCUGUAAACGAUGUCGAUUUGGAGGUUGUGCCCUUGAGGCGUGGCUUCCGGAGCUAACGCGUUAAAUCGACCGCCUGGGGAGUACGGCCGCAAGGUUAAAACUCAAAUGAAUUGACGGGGGCCCGCACAAGCGGUGGAGCAUGUGGUUUAAUUCGAUGCAACGCGAAGAACCUUACCUGGUCUUGACAUCCACAGAACUUUCCAGAGAUGGAUUGGUGCCUUCGGGAACUGUGAGACAGGUGCUGCAUGGCUGUCGUCAGCUCGUGUUGUGAAAUGUUGGGUUAAGUCCCGCAACGAGCGCAACCCUUAUCCUUUGUUGCCAGCGGUUAGGCCGGGAACUCAAAGGAGACUGCCAGUGAUAAACUGGAGGAAGGUGGGGAUGACGUCAAGUCAUCAUGGCCCUUACGACCAGGGCUACACACGUGCUACAAUGGCAUAUACAAAGAGAAGCGACCUCGCGAGAGCAAGCGGACCUCAUAAAGUAUGUCGUAGUCCGGAUUGGAGUCUGCAACUCGACUCCAUGAAGUCGGAAUCGCUAGUAAUCGUAGAUCAGAAUGCUACGGUGAAUACGUUCCCGGGCCUUGUACACACCGCCCGUCACACCAUGGGAGUGGGUUGCAAAAGAAGUAGGUAGCUUAACCUUCGGGAGGG
rnacentral:rRNA from 1 species